UUCAUUUCUUAUAUUUACAUUAUAUUUCCUUUCCAUUUGUAAACUAUAUAAUAUUAUACAUUGAAUAUAAUUUGUAGCAUUUAACAUUAAAAUCAGCUUCCCGGCCAUUCUGUUCACCAGACGGAACAACUGCGACGUCAUCUAAAGAACGUUCUCCCUGACUAUACGCGGACGUCGUCAAAACAGCGGUCGGUUAUCACUAAGCAGCGAUGACGUAACUUUCGUGCCUUUCCUUUUGCUGUUCAUACGAAAUGAACGUCAAAAGUUUCAAUGGAGAAGGAUAGGGUGAAUGUCCACCUCUAGUGGUUGAAACAAAACAGAAGCAGAACACUGAAUGUGAUACGGAUUACUCCUUCAAUGCUACUUUUGAUCAAGAUGGACAGACAAAAGGUUUUUUUUGAUAUCCGAAACACCACUGAAGUUGCUCUCAGAAACAUUUCUGGAAAUUAAACUCAUUUUUCUGAAGGUCAGAGAUCCUAACCAUUUUGACAUCACUCACUGCAAAGUACAUGCAAUAAAUGUUUCUACUAAAAUAACAAAAACUUGCAUUUACAAUUAAAAAAAAAAACAGAUGUUACCCGCGUUUGCGUAGAUGUGUAUAAAAUUGGACAGGGUAAUUCACGUAUGCAUGUUAUAUACUUACAAUAUCAGUAACAUAAUAAAACUUGUAUAGAUAACUUAUCCGGCCUUUCAUUGGAUACAUGUUUUAUUGCCAAUGAAUAUAACUAAAAUCGUAUGUCAACGGUGUCUUUUGUAUUGCUCCUGUCUUUAGCAACAUGGAACCGGGCAUUGUAGCUGUCAUUUCGCUAAUUUUAAAAUAGUUCUACAAAGUUUGUUACAAUGAGAACAAUAUUUUUGUGAACGUUUCAAGAUGUUUUAUUGAUUUUUUUUUUCAAAACUAUGAAAACGUUUGUGUCUGUAUUUACUACAGUUACUGAUUAAAUUCUAUCUAUGGAAAAAACUAA